AUUGAACGCUGGCGGCAGGCCUAACACAUGCAAGUCGAACGGUAACAGGAAGCAGCUUGCUGCUUUGCUGACGAGUGGCGGACGGGUGAGUAAUGUCUGGGAAACUGCCUGAUGGAGGGGGAUAACUACUGGAAACGGUAGCUAAUACCGCAUAACGUCGCAAGACCAAAGAGGGGGACCUUAGGGCCUCUUGCCAUCGGAUGUGCCCAGAUGGGAUUAGCUAGUAGGUGGGGUAACGGCUCACCUAGGCGACGAUCCCUAGCUGGUCUGAGAGGAUGACCAGCCACACUGGAACUGAGACACGGUCCAGACUCCUACGGGAGGCAGCAGUGGGGAAUAUUGCACAAUGGGCGCAAGCCUGAUGCAGCCAUGCCGCGUGUAUGAAGAAGGCCUUCGGGUUGUAAAGUACUUUCAGCGGGGAGGAAGGGAGUAAAGUUAAUACCUUUG
rnacentral:rRNA from 1 species